GACGAACCGUGCGAACGUUAUUCGGAAUCACUGGGCUUAAAGGGCGCGUAGGCGGUCCCGUCAGUCAGGGGUGAAAUCCCACGGCCCAACCGUGGAAGUGCCUCUGAUACUGCGGGCCUCGAGGGGGAUAGGGGCGUGCGGAACUCAGGGUGGAGCGGUGAAAUGCGUAGAUAUCCUGAGGAACACCGGUGGCGAAAGCGGCGCGCUGGAUCACUUCUGACGCUGAGGCGCGAAAGCCAGGGGAGCAAACGGG
rnacentral:rRNA from 1 species